AGUGAACGCUGGCGGUAGGCCUAACACAUGCAAGUCGAACGGCAGCACAGUAAGCGCUUGCUCUUACGGUUGGCGAGUGGCGGACGGGUGAGGAAUACAUCGGAAUCUACUUUUUCGUGGGGGAUAACGUAGGGAAACUUACGCUAAUACCGCAUACGACCUACGGGUGAAAGCAGGGGAUCUUCGGACCUUGCGCGAUUGAAUGAGCCGAUGUCGGAUUAGCUAGUUGGCGGGGUAAAGGCCCACCAAGGCGACGAUCCGUAGCUGGUCUGAGAGGAUGAUCAGCCACACUGGAACUGAGACACGGUCCAGACUCCUACGGGAGGCAGCAGUGGGGAAUAUUGGACAAUGGGCGCAAGCCUGAUCCAGCCAUACCGCGUGGGUGAAGAAGGCCUUCGGGUUGUAAAGCCCUUUUGUUGGGAAAGAAAAGCAGCAGGUUAAUACCCCGCUGUUCUGACGGUACCCAAAGAAUAAGCACCGGCUAACUUCGUG
rnacentral:rRNA from 1 species